rnacentral:rRNA from 1 species
AACAGGAUUAGAUACCCUGGUAGUCCAUGCCGUAAACGAUGUCUACUAGCCGUUGGGGCCUUUGAGGCUUUAGUGGCGCAGCUAACGCGAUAAGUAGACCGCCUGGGGAGUACGGUCGCAAGACUAAAACUCAAAUGAAUUGACGGGGGCCCGCACAAGCGGUGGAGCAUGUGGUUUAAUUCGAUGCAACGCGAAGAACCUUACCUGGCCUUGACAUACUAAGAACUUUCCAGAGAUGGACUGGUGCCUUCGGGAACUUAGAUACAGGUGCUGCAUGGCUGUCGUCAGCUCGUGUCGUGAGAUGUUGGGUUAAGUCCCGCAACGAGCGCAACCCUUUUCCUUAUUUGCCAUCGGGUAAUGCCGGGAACUUUAAGGAUACUGCCAGUGACAAACUGGAGGAAGGCGGGGACGACGUCAAGUCAUCAUGGCCCUUACGGCCAGGGCUACACACGUGCUACAAUGGUCGGUACAAAGGGUUGCUACCUCGCGAGAGGAUGCUAAUCUCAAAAAGCCGAUCGUAGUCCGGAUCGCAGUCUGCAACUCGACUGCGUGAAGUCGGAAUCGCUAGUAAUCGCGGAUCAGAAUGCCGCGGUGAAUACGUUCCCGGGCCUUGUACACACCGCCCGUCACACCAUGGGAGUUUGUUGCACCAGAAGUAGGUAGUCUAACCGUAAGGAGGACGCUUACCACGGUGUGGCCGAUGACUGGGGGUGAAGUCGUAACAAGGUAACC